rnacentral:rRNA from 1 species
AGAGUUUGAUCCUGGCUCAGAUUGAACGCUGGCGGCAGGCCUAACACAUGCAAGUCGAACGGUAACAGGAAGAAGCUUGCUUCUUUGCUGACGAGUGGCGGACGGGUGAGUAAUGUCUGGGAAACUGCCUGAUGGAGGGGGAUAACUACUGGAAACGGUAGCUAAUACCGCAUAACGUCGCAAGACCAAAGAGGGGGACCUUCGGGCCUCUUGCCAUCGGAUGUGCCCAGAUGGGAUUAGCUAGUAGGUGGGGUAACGGCUCACCUAGGCGACGAUCCCUAGCUGGUCUGAGAGGAUGACCAGCCACACUGGAACUGAGACACGGUCCAGACUCCUACGGGAGGCAGCAGUGGGGAAUAUUGCACAAUGGGCGCAAGCCUGAUGCAGCCAUGCCGCGUGUAUGAAGAAGGCCUUCGGGUUGUAAAGUACUUUCAGCGGGGAGGAAGGGAGUAAAGUUAAUACCUUUGCUCAUUGACGUUACCCGCAGAAGAAGCACCGGCUAACUACGUGCCAGCAGCCGCGGUAAUACGUAGGUGGCAAGCGUUGUCCGGAUUUAUUGGGCGUAAAGCGAGCGCAGGCGGUUUCUUAAGUCUGAUGUGAAAGCCCCCGGCUCAACCGGGGAGGGUCACUGGAAACUGGGAGACUUGAGUGCAGAAGAGGAGAGUGGAAUUCCAUGUGUAGCGGUGAAAUGCGUAGAUAUAUGGAGGAACACCAGUGGCGAAGGCGGCUCUCUGGUCUGUAACUGACGCUGAGGCUCGAAAGCGUGGGGAGCAAACAGGAUUAGAUACCCUGGUAGUCCACGCCGUAAACGAUGAGUGCUAAGUGUUGGAGGGUUUCCGCCCUUCAGUGCUGCAGCUAACGCAUUAAGCACUCCGCCUGGGGAGUACGACCGCAAGGUUGAAACUCAAAGGAAUUGACGGGGGCCCGCACAAGCGGUGGAGCAUGUGGUUUAAUUCGAAGCAACGCGAAGAACCUUACCAGGUCUUGACAUCCUUUGACCACUCUAGAGAUAGAGCUUCCCCUUCGGGGGCAAAGUGACAGGUGGUGCAUGGUUGUCGUCAGCUCGUGUCGUGAGAUGUUGAGUUAAGUCCCGCAACGAGCGCAACCCUUAUUGUUAGUUGCCAUCAUUUAGUUGGGCACUCUAGCAAGACUGCCGGUGACAAACCGGAGGAAGGUGGGGAUGACGUCAAAUCAUCAUGCCCCUUAUGACCUGGGCUACACACGUGCUACAAUGGGAAGUACAACGAGUCGCAAAGUCGCGAGGCUAAGCUAAUCUCUUAAAGCUUCUCUCAGUUCGGAUUGUAGGCUGCAACUCGCCUACAUGAAGCCGGAAUCGCUAGUAAUCGCGGAUCAGCACGCCGCGGUGAAUACGUUCCCGGGCCUUGCACUCACCGCCCGUCA